GUUCGGAUUGUAGUCUNCAACCCGACUACAUGAAGCUGGAAUCGCUAGUAAUCGCGGAUCAGAAUGCCGCGGUGAAUACGUUCCCGGGUCUUGUACACACCGCCCGUCACACCAUGGGAGUCGGAAAUGCCCGAAGUCUGUGACCCAACCUACGGGAGGGAGCAGCCGAAGGCAGGUCGGAUGACUGGGGGUGAAGUCGUAACAAGGUACC
rnacentral:rRNA from 1 species